GGGCUGGCCUUAGCCUAGCGGUUCCUCCCGACUUCCCUUCUAAUCAUGCGGCCUGGUGGCUGACCACUAGUGCCCUGGUUCGAGACCCGUGGGCGCUCUCUAGUCCUUGG
ensembl:misc_RNA Vault Vault RNA